rnacentral:misc_RNA from 1 species
GAUGAAGAACGCAGCGAAAUGCGAUAAGUAGUGUGAAUUGCAGAAUUCAGUGAAUCAUCGAAUCUUUGAACGCACAUUGCGCCCCUUGGUAUUCCAUGGGGCAUGCCUGUUCGAGCGUCAUUUGUACCCUCAAGCACUGCUUGGUGUUGGGUGUUUGUCCCGCUUUGCGCGUGGACUCGCCUUAAAGCAAUUGGCAGCCGGCAGAUUGGCCUGGAUCGCGAGCACAUUUUGCGACCUUGUCAUAACUGUUUGGCACCCAUCAAGACUAUUUUUUGCUCUUGACCUCGGAUCAGGUAGGGAUACCCGCUGAACUUAAGCAUAACAAUAAGCGGAGGA